ACGGAGGGUGCAAGCGUUAUCCGGAUUCACUGGGUUUAAAGGGUGCGUAGGUGGGUUGGUAAGUCAGUGGUGAAAUCCUGGAGCUCAACUCCAGAACUGCCUUUGAUACUGAGAAUCUUGAGUAUGGGAGAGGUGAGUGGAACUGCGAGUGUAGAGGUGAAAUUCGUAGAUAUUCGCAAGAACACCAGUGGCGAAGGCGGCUCACUGGCCCAUAACUGACGCUGAGGCACGAAAGCGUGGGGAGCAAACAGGA
rnacentral:rRNA from 1 species